CCCUAGUAACGGCGAGUGAAGCGGGAUGAGCUCAAAUUUGAAAGCUGGCAGUAAUGUCCGCGUUGUAAUCUCGAGAGUUGUUUUCCGUGCUGGACCGAGUACAAGUUCCUUGGAAUAGGAUGUCAUAGAGGGUGAAAAUCCCGUACUUGACUUGGACGCCCAGUGCUUUGUGAUACAUCUUCGAAGAGUCGAGUUGUUUGGGAAUGCAGCUCAAAAUGGGUGGUAAAUUCCAUCUAAAGCUAAAUAUUGGGGAGAGACCGAUAGCGAACAAGUACCGUGAGGGAAAGAUGAAAAGCACUUUGGAAAGAGAGUUAAACAGUACGUGAAAUUGUCAAAAGGGAAGCAUUUGAAGUCAGACGUGUAUUUCAGUAUUCAGCCUUGCUUUUGCUUGGUGUUUUGCUGUUGUACAGGCCAACAUCAGUUUUGAGUGACGGAUAAGGGUAGGAGGAAUGUGGCACCCUCGGGUGUGUUAUAGCCUCUUACUGGAUACGUCGUUUGGGACUGAGGAAAGCAGCGCGCCGUAAGGCAGACCUUCGGGUACUUUCGCGCUUAGGAUGUUGGCGUAAUGGCUUUAAGUGACCCGUCUUGAAACACGGACCAAGGAGUCUAACAUGUCUGCGAGUCUUUGGGUGGCAAACCCGUGGGCGCAAUGAAAGUGAAUGCAGGUGGGAUCCGCAAGGAGCACCAUCGACCGAUCCAGAUCUUCUGUGACGGAUUUGAGUAAGAGCAUAUAUGUUGGGACCCGAAAGAUGGUGAACUAUGCCUGAAUAGGGUGAAGCCAGAGGAAACUCUGGUGGAGGCUCGUAGCGGUUCUGACGUGCAAAUCGAUCGUCAAAUUUGGGUAUAGGGGCGAAAGACUAAUCGACC
rnacentral:rRNA from 1 species